AGAGUUUGAUCCUGGCUCAGAAUGAACGCUGGCGGCGUGCUUAACACAUGCAAGUCGAACGAGAAAGUGGGCUUCGGUCCAUGAGUAGAGUGGCGCACGGGUGAGUAACACGUGGGUAAUCUACCCCUCAAUUUGGGAUAACAUUGCGAAAGUGAUGCUAAUACCGAAUAACAUCCAUAAAGCUUUGGUUUAAUGGAUCAAAGGUGGCCAAUCCUUGGAAGCUACUGUUGGGGGAUGAGCCCGCGUACCAUUAGCUAGUUGGUAGGGUAAUGGCCUACCAAGGCGACGAUGGUUAGCUGGUCUGAGAGGAUGAUCAGCCACACUGGAACUGACACACGGUCCAGACUCCUACGGGAGGCAGCAGUGAGGAAUUUUGCGCAAUGGGGGCAACCCUGACGCAGCAACGCCGCGUGAACGAAGAAGGCCUUCGGGUCGUAAAGUUCUUUUCUCGAGGAAGAAGAAAUGACGGUACUCGAGGAAUAAGCACCGGCUAACUACGUGCCAGCAGCCGCGGUAAUACGUAGGGUGCAAGCGUUAUCCGGAAUCACUGGGCGUAAAGGGUGCGUAGGCGGUUAGACAAGUCAGAAGUGAAAGGCAGUGGCUCAACCACUGUAAGCUUUUGAAACUGUUUAACUUGAAUGCAGGAGAGGCAAGUGGAAUUCCUAGUGUAGCGGUGAAAUGCGUAGAUAUUAGGAGGAACACCAGUGGCGAAGGCGACUUGCUGGACUGUAAUUGACGCUGAGGCACGAAAGCGUGGGGAGCAAACAGGAUUAGAUACCCUGGUAGUCC
rnacentral:rRNA from 1 species